UACGUAGGGCGCAAGCGUUGUCCGGAAUUAUUGGGCGUAAAGAGCUCGUAGGCGCCUAUUGCGUCCGCUGUGAAAUCCCAGGGCUUAACCCUGGGCCUAGCAGUGGAUACGGGUAGGCUGGAGGCAGGCAGGGGAGAACGGAAUUCCCGGUGUAGCGGUGAAAUGCGCAGAUAUCAGGAGGAACACCGGUGGCGAAGGCGAGUCCCUGGACAACUUCUGACGCUGAGGCACGAAAGCUAGGGGAGCAAACAGG
rnacentral:rRNA from 1 species